UAUAUAUAUGAAUAAUAUUUCAGCUGUCUGUACAAAAAAUACAAAGUAACAAAAUUCAAAAUGCAGAAUUUUUAUUAAUUUGAAAUCUUUAUAAUGCUGCUGGCAUUAUAUUUGGAAUUCAAAAUUAAAAUAUCUGCAUUAAGAAAAUGAUGAAAAAAUAAGUAAUAAUGAUGAAAUAUUAUUACUUAAAAUGUAAAUGCUAAAAUUUAUUAACAUGCUUCUAAUUAAUUUGAUCAGAAUUUUAUUUUAAAAUCUACUGUAUGUGAAAUUUUAUAAGCUAACUGAUGAUAAUUUAAUAUGAAUAUUCGUAAAAUCAGACAAUUCUAAAGGGCUUCUCCUGCAUCAAACCAAUACUACAGCUGUCAAAUCAUCUGUAAAUCACUAAGAUAUCCAUUAAUGAUUAAUAGCAAAAGAAAUUAAACACGUAAAUGGAUCGAAUUUAGCAUUGCUGUGUCCCAGAUUCCCUUAGACAGUCGAAAGGGAAAAAACAAAAAGUGUCUUCAAAUCUGGCUGUUUCACAUUGCCAAAAAGCAAUUCAUCCAUGACUUCACUUGGAAUCCGAUGAAAUUGUGAUGCUGGUUUUUAACAUCAUCCCCCCUUCUGAGUCUGUGGCUACUGCAGAAGGCUCAAAAACUUUUAAGAAACAUUACCCAGACCAAAGCUGCAUAGCACUUCAAUAACUCGAUAUUCAGUUCACUAACUAUUCUUCCGAAUUGAGUGGUUUGAGUGUCCAAAUUUUGCUCUGAAACGGAAAUGGUCUGGCGAGCAUUACCUUGUUUAACCUGUAAAAGAGAAUCUAAAAAUUCAUUAGAUGAUAUUGGCAAAGGAAAUAUUCUCUGAAUAGGUCUGGUUAAUGUUAAUUUUCAGUUUCACAAUGCACACUUUAUAGAAUGAACCUUACCAUCUUUCCUCAUCCACUCCCUUUUACGAAAAUAUUUUAUUAGGUGGCCAUGAUGGAUUCUACCACCACAGAGUUUUAGCUAACUUUUCAGGGGAACAUCCUCGAGAAAUAACAUCAACAUUCAUUUUACCACGAACCUAUCCCUAAUUUCGUAGAGAAGUCAAAUGGUGGAUCUCAUUCAGUCUAUAUGAGACAUAGAUGCCUUUCCUGUUGUCAAAUCCUUCAAAAGGCCACUCACACCACGAUUUAAGUUUUACUUCAGGCAAAUUGAGCAGUCUAAUGGAAUGUGCUAAUAAAGUUCCUAUACAACACAAAAUUAGUUCUAAUUUCAUUAUCGACAAUUCCUUCCUUGGUGCAACUCUAGAUUUGGUUCGUAAGAAACUAAUUUCAAUACCAAGAGAAACCUCUGUUCAUAUAAAAAUGCAAGCAUCAUAUGAUGUUUUACAUUUGUCUACAAAUACAUUUAAUUCAGAUGUCUUAUUUACUUCCACGUGUAGUGGAACUUCGACAUUAUUCAAGAUCGGCAGCUUUACAAACCAAUCUUAAAAAAAAAAAAAACUUACUUCUGCAUCAGUAAGUUUGCAAGUUCAAAAUUCCAUGCAAAUCGAAUAUUUGCUGUACCAAAGACAAAACACCUCUCUUUGAUUUUGUUUAAAUUCAGUAGUAGGUACUAAGCAUCUCAGGGUAUCUCAAUCCAAAUUCCAUAUCAUAUCCAAAAGAUAUGUAUCCCCAGCUGAUUUGGAGAUAUGUAAACUAGGUAUGUUAUUUUCCCAGUUUCUUAAAAUAUCCACAUUUCAGUAAACUUUGGACUUGAGGGACACAUUCCUGUUAUUCAGUUAUCAACAUAAAAUGUAUGACGAAGACAAGCCACAAGAUGAGAAUAUUCCUUAGAGGCAUUCCCUAGCAAAUGAUUUAAAGAUCCUAUAAGGAUAAAAGCACUUGCUGUCAUCCCAAAUACUAUUCUGCAAUGUUUGUAAAGAAUUGCUUCAUAUUCAGAAGAAAAAAGAAUCUAAGAAAAUUUCUUUGCUGUGGAUUAAUACUCAAUUGUAAGAAGGCCCUUUCUAUUCUGAACAAUGGGAUACGAUCUAAAUCUAUCCAUUAUAUCGGAUAUUAACUCGGGUUUGGUCAAUCAGGAUAAUUUAAGAAUAGCUGAUUUUCCUCUUUUGGAGAAUCCGACUUUUUUUAGGUUCGGAUAUUUUCAUUAGUUACUGGGCUGAUGAGGUAAAUAAUGCUUGAAAUCAUUUACCCCCUCGUCUUGAACUUCUUCAAUAAUUCCUAGCCUUUCCCGUUCUUUACAUAUAGAAAUGUAAUCACCUAGAUCAGGGUCUCGAAACUACAGCCCGCCAGUGUCAUCAAUCCCCCCCCCGCGACAGCUAAUGGCUUAUUGUUGUCGUGAUAAGUUGGAUAGAAUAACUCAAUUUUGUUUUCUUGCUAGGUAAAGCUUAAUGACAAGUGUCCACUUGUAAAAAAUACUAAAGAGAUUUAUAUAAAUGAUUUUCCACUAGCAAUAGUUUGUAGCUGUGGACCAAUUUUACUUGUACCAAUUGUUAAAAGAAAUUUAAGAUGCUCAUCGGUUAACUUAGAUGUGUAAGCAUUUUUUGUGUACUUAAUUUUGGAGAAUGUUUUCUCACACAAAUAGUACCAAAAGCAAAAAAAAAUUCCCACGAGCAAAUUAUCAAAUUGUACCGGUGAAAGACUCUUUAAACUUCCAACAAAGAUGAGUUUUGAUGGUUGUUCUUAAUUAUAUCUCUGCAUUGUAAAUCAGUAACGAAAAAUCUUAAUUUCAUUCACAAUGACAAUAAAAUUUAUCUUUAAAGCUUCGAUUGCAAAAUCAACAAGAAAUUUAGUGCGGCUGAAUGUUUCGCAUUUUUUAAUAUGUGUGAAAUAUUUUUUAUGUUAUUGUGAUUGAAAUAGUAUUUUCUGCUGGAAAAAUUUCAUAUUAGUGUAUAAAUCAGGAAGAAGCUGCUUUCCUCCCUGCAAUCUCAAAUUCAAUUUGUUCAUAUGUUUUGCUAUAUCGACAUAGAAUGCCAUUUAAAUUCAUUCACCAUUUUGUAAUUCAAUAAGAGGGUGAUGCUUCUAAAAAUAUGUUCCCUUUAAAGAAUAUACACUAUUAUAACAAAAUUUUAUUUUUUCCCUUAAUGUAAUGAUAUAUAAUGCUAUAUAAAUAAUGUAAUGAUAUAUAAAUAUUUUUUUAAUUAUAUCACCAUCUCUAAUCACACUAACACAGUUUUUCACACUUACGAGAUAAUGAAUUAUGAUUUUGGAUAUUAAAAACUUUUCAAUUUUGCCUCUAAGAUUGUUUUCUUGUAUAAAUAUCAUAUGACAGAAUCUUGACAGGUUUUUCUUAGAUAUUAAAGAAGAAUAGAUGCACAAGCAGUUAUUUGGAAAUUCAGUGAUCAAAUUCUAAACCUAUUUCAUUGACAGAAAAUUUUAGAACUUCUAUAUUUUUCAGAAACAUAUUAUUUUUAUACAGGGGGGCUAAGGUGUCAUAAUUUUAAGGGAUUGUAAAUAAUGACAAAAGUAACAAUUUUUAUAAUCCACUUUGUAGUCAGAAAUAAACUAAGUUUUUCACAAGAAGACACUUCUAAAGGGUAUGCAAAUCACUCUGGUGCAUGUACUGCAGUUGGUGGCUGUUCACUUAAACAAUUCUUCUGAAUAUUGAAAAUUGUUUCUAGUAAAUACCUGAUCAAACUUUCCUUUUGCUUACUUUUUCUUACCAUAUAUGAUUCACAUGCAUUGUAUUAGAAAAAUUGUUACUUUUGCCUUGUUCUAUGCUCUUAAAAUUUUGGAUCCCGUAACUGUUAUCUAGAAUCUCUCUAUGCAUCCAAAAUUGCUAUCAAAAAGACAAUCAGCAUCACAAGAUUAAUUGCCAUUGGAAAGAAACUUCCAAUAUUUCAUUUAUAAAUAGAAAUUAGCUAUUUAAGUGUAUGAUAGUGAUACUGAAGAUGUUUCAUUUGAAAAACUGAAUUACUCAGUUUUGAAAUAAACAGAACAAGAUGUUUUUCUCAAAAAAUUCUUAAGCAGUACAUAAAAUAAUUAUGAAGAUUUAUCACAGUUCUAAACAAUUUAAAACUUGUAUUUUAGUUUUUUAAAUUAACAAAUUAUAAUGCAUAAAUAAUUUCUGUUCAAGAAACUGAUUCCAACAACUUUAUUCAUUAAGAAAUAAUAAUUGUUAAAAAAUUGAUUCAUUGUCUUUUUUCAAUGAUUUUGUACUCCAUUUCCUUUAUAAAAAUAUGGAGUAACUACUAAUAGUGUUGAUAGUAAUCUCAUAUAUCAAAUAACAAAACGAGGUAGUAUAAUUGAUAUUAGAUUAUUACCUUGAUUAUUUAAGAACUACGGACAGUUAACCAGAUCACUUAAACUGCCAUCCAAUCAUUUUUAUUUGUGACAAUUUUUAAGGGUAAUACAAAAUCACCUAUAUUAAGCUACUUUCUUUUAAACACCAAUUAAUCAUUAAAAGGUUCAUUUUGUAAAGGAAACAUGGAAUAUAUUCAACAACUAUAAAUGCUGCAAAUACUCAUUUUGUAAAAUGAAAGGCGUUAAUAUUAUUUUACAAAUUUUAAAAAGUUAGAUUUCCACUUUAUUUUGCUUACUGUAUACAAAAUUUCUAGAGAAUAUAUAUGUACAUAUUUAAAUAUGGAAAAAAUUGUCAAUGAAAUAACCAAUCAUUAUCCAGGUCUCAAAACUUUUCAAGAUUAAAAAUGUAAAAUGAAAGAGAAAAAUUAUAUCAAUUAAUCAAGGAUCUAUAAAUACUUCAAAACUAAAAUUAAUACUUCAGUGCACAUAUUCCUAUUAGAUAGUCACACAUUUGCUUUCUAAUGAGAAUAACAACGUACAGAUAUCAGCAGAUUUUAACAAAUCAUUUUUUAAAACAUGAAUGUAAACAAUCUAUUAUCAAAUUUCAAACAUGCACAAAACUAAAUUAUCACUUUCUUAUAAGAGAAUUCAAUCAAAUACUAAUGUUAAAUAAUUUUCUGAAAGAGGCAUAUUAAAUCGUUAUAACUUUUUAAAAGAUUACUGAUUAAUUCAUCAUUUCUUAAAAAAUGAUUAUAUUAUCACAUUUGCUGAGUAUUAAUCGUUAGCCCCAUAUUCUUAAAAGCAUAUUAGAUGCUAAACAUAUUCAUUUCAUAAAAAAGGAGUAUUAAAUUAUUUUCAAAAGGUAUUAAUUACCAUCUCAAAUAAAAUUAUAAAGAAGCAUUUAAAAGAAAGAAUAUACUUGUGCUUCAAAGCUAUCAUUUCAUUUCAGAGACUUUACAAGAGAUGCUAAAACACUGAAAUCCAAGAAAUUAGGAAAGGUGUAAAAUUUUUAACUGCAGUUACAUUCACUAGAUGGCAUGCUAUCUUAGAAUCCAGAAUAUGUGGCUAGCUUUUGAAUUGUGACAAACCAGUACUAUGUUGACUUGUUUUGAAAUUUUAUUCGGAAUUGAAUAUUUUUUAAAAAUUAUAUUAUUUAUAAAAUGGAUGAAAAGGCAAGCAUUGAGAAUUUUGCAAUAUUUAUGCAAGAUGGAGUAAUUAUGAGAGAAAAGGCAAUCAUUGGAUUUCGUGACAAUUGUGCAGAAUGAAAACUCAAUUUACUUGUCUGUAUAUUUUUGCCUAAAAUGAAGUAAUAAGCCAUGCCUUAUAUUAGUUAUUCUUUCAAAAAUAUUUUUUCUGUCUGCUUAGGUCAGAUAAUGGCUUAUAGCAAUAAUGAUGGCUUAAAAUUAACAUUUGUGAUAAGGCAUUUUAUGUCCUUUUAUGAAUAAAGUGACAUCUGCUAAACAGCUAUAAUUAAACAAUUUGCAUAACAAAAUUUCUUGGAAACUCAUUUUUAGACAUUUCUAUAAAUAAUACAUUCAUUGAAAAUUAAAAAAAUAGAUACAUUCUAAAAACUUGUUUCCUCUAAGAUUGCUUUAUAUUUUAAUUUAAAACAAGACUCUAAUGUCUUUUUAAAAGAACCAAAGAAUUUUAAAUUAUUGUAUUUGUUGCAGUGCAUAUGGCAGUUAUGGAGAUAGAUCAGUAUACUGCCUGCUGAAAUUUUUCAUUUAAAUAUUUAAAAAUAAAAGUAUUUUCAUAAUGUCUAGCUUCACUGAUAUUAUAUGGUCUAAAAAUUUAGAAACAUAUCUGAAAGCUCAAAAGCAAAAUCACCUCCAUUUAUAUAGAUAAAUAACCAAAAAAUUAUUAAAACUAAUAAACCAAAAAUAUGCUAAUAUUUAAUCUCUUAAAAUUCAGGUUUUGGUACUCAUUUCAAAUUCUUUGUCACAAACAAUAUGAAAUUAAUAUACAUUAAAUGAUUACAUGGUCUUAUACUGAUGCUACUAGGACUACUUUCACAAGUGAUAAAUAUAACACUAGUCACAUGCAAAAUAUGUUUUGAAGAAGUAACAAUAAUUAAUAAACAUAAAAGAGUUAUAAAUGUAGCUGAAAAAAAAUCUCGACCCCCCACCCCAAAAUAACAAUGCUGCCUCUUUCAUGAAAGAAAAAUUAAAAAUAUCCAAUAUUUAUAUGCAAAUUUAAGCUGUAAUAAAAUUUGCAGAAUGAUUUAAAAUAAAGUAUUAGCAAUCUGACAAUUAUCUUUUCACUUGAAUACAGAUGUGUAACUGCUAUUCAUAAAAAUUGCAUUAAAUUUUGGAUCACAUUUUUUAAAAUGUAUACAUUUUCUGAAGUGUAAAUGUUCUAAAAUGAUGAAUCACUUGUGAUGACUUUUUUUAUAAUCAUGUUGAAGAACAUGCUUUCCUCAUAUGUUACAAAAUAAAACUUUUAUAUGUCUCACUUUCUGAAGUGUUUCGUUACCUUUCCACCGUAAGCAUGUUCUCAAUACCAGAAUCAGUAAUUGACUAUCUUCAGACGUAAAAAAUACAGACAUGUAAAUCAUUUUUUCACAUAACAAAACUACCACACACACAUAACA
rnacentral:lncRNA from 1 species